UUAUUUUUAUAAAUAUUUGAUUUUCAGGAUGGAUGUAUCAUUGUGUGGAAUGCCUAGGCGAAAAAAAAGAACGUGAAUCGAAAGCAUUACGGUUUUUACAGAAAUCAAUUGAAGCAGAGCCAAAGUGCGGACAAUCAUUAUAUUUAUUGGGGAGAUGUUACGCUGGAGUGAAUAAGGUUCAUGAUGCGUUUUUAGCUUAUAGGAAUUCUGUUGAGAAAAGUGAAGGGAAUGCAGAUACUUGGUGCUCGAUUGGUGUCUUAUAUCAGCAGCAAAAUCAACCCACGGAUGCGCUACAAGCAUACAUAUGCGCAGUACAGUUAGAUAAGGAUCAUAAAUCGGCGUGGACAAAUUUGGGAAUACUAUAUGAGAGUUGCGGGCAAUUACGAGAUGCGUACGCAUGCUAUUCAAAUGCGGUGAAACAAAUGUCAACCCAG